rnacentral:rRNA from 1 species
GGAGUUUGGGCCGUGUCUCAGUCCCAAUGUGGCCGUUCAACCUCUCAGUCCGGCUAUUGAUCGUCGUCUUGGUGGUCCGUUACACCGCCAACUAACUAAUCAAACGCGGGUCCAUCUCGUAGCGAUGAAUCUUUAGUGUAAAAAUCAUGCGACCCUUACACAACAUCCGGUAUUAGCGUCCCUUUCGGAACGUUGUCCCCGACUUUGCGGCAGAUUACCUGCGCUUUACUCACCCGUUCGCCACUAAACCCGAAGGUUCCGUUCGACUUGCAUGUGUUAAGCACGCCGCCAGCGUUCGUCCUGAGCCAUGAUCAACUACU